rnacentral:rRNA from 1 species
UGAGGAAUAUUGGGCAAUGCCCGCAAGGGUGACCCAGCAACGCCGCGUGGAGGAUGAAUGUCGUAAGAUUGUAAACUCCUGUUAGAGGGGAAGAAUAGUACCGGUUGGACCGGUAUAUGACUGUACCCUCAGAGAAAGCCCCGGCUAACUACGUGCCAGCAGCCGCGGUAAUACGUAGGGGGCAAGCGUUGUCCGGAUUUACUGGGUGUAAAGGGCGCGCAGGCGGGAUAAAAAGUCAGUGGUGAAAUCCUACAGCUUAACUGGAGAACUGCCUUGGAUACGUUUAUUCUUGAGGUCGGGAGGGNGAGACGGAAUUCCAGGUGUAGUGGUGAAAUACGUAGAUAUCUGGAAGAACACCAGUUGCGAAGGCGGUCUCUUGGUCCGACACUGACGCUGAGGCGCGAAAGCGUGGGGAGCAAACA